UACAGAGGUGGCAAGCGUUGUUCGGAAUUACUGGGCGUAAAGGGCGCGUAGGCGGUCUUAUAAGUCUCGUGUGAAAUCCCUCGGCUUAACUGAGGAACUGCACGGGAUACUGCAAGACUUGAGAUCGGGAGAGGGAAGCGGAAUUCCGGGUGUAGCGGUGAAAUGCGUAGAUAUCGUAAGGAAGACCAGUGGCGAAGGCGGGUCUCUGGACAGUUCCUGACGCUGAGGCACGAAGGUCAGGGGAGCAAACGGG
rnacentral:rRNA from 1 species